GUACAACAGAGCAACAUAGGAAGACUGAGGUAGAGGUGAAAUGAAUGGAGAAGGAGCUGAUGGCCUGUCUCAGCUUAUCCACUGUCUCGCUGAACAAACAGGUGCUGGGAAACCCUGCUUCUCUGCCAUCAAGGAGGUUGUUCUCUGAAAACCAGGUGAUGUUUGAAAGCUCAGCUCUCCUAACAGGAAAUGCAUUUUUUAAAUCAUUAGCAAAAUGGUCAUUCAGGCCUCUGUAGGAUUUGAUAACCAAUUAAGACUAUGUCCUGUGCCCAGAAUCAAGCAGUAGACUUCAGCCUCAACAAGACUCAGUCACUUUAAAACCCAUCUCCCUCCAUCCAGACAAUCAUCUUUCUUUGAUUUACAGUGUCUGGCCUUCAGGUGUUUAGAGGUGCUCUUCAUUUAGCCAGACAACAGUCACCCCCAGAAAGCUAUUUCCAAGGCUACAUCACCCUCCUGCCAUUACCCACCUCCACAGCCAGCCAGCUCCCUGAUGCUUCCUGCUGUGAAUCCAUAACACACCCUGGGUCGUAUUUGUGUCACUGAAAGCAAACCUUAUAAUUCUACCCCCAAAAUGGAAAGAGAAAAAUGCCCAGCAGGAUCAAGGAGAGAGUCUCCUUACACAAAUC
rnacentral:lncRNA from 1 species